UUUCCGUUGGUGAACCAGCGGAGGGAUCAUUAUCGAGUUUAUAACUCCCAAACCCUAUGUGAACUUACCACUUGUUGCUUCGGCGCGCGCUUCGGUGCCGCCGAGGACACUUAAACUCUUUGUUUUUAUAAGCAUUUCUGAGUGGCCGAAAGGCAAAAUACAAAUGAAUCAAAACUUUCAACAACGGAUCUCUUGGUUCUG
rnacentral:misc_RNA from 1 species